GAUAUAAGGGGAAAGAGCUGUAGUAAAAGAACAUGGUUUACAGAUUUAAAACCAAAUAUAGCUCAGGGAUUGUUAUGCAAACUCUCCUAGGAAAGCUCUGGAACAGAAGGUCAGCAUAAAUUGUGGAACAGGCAGCCAUAGACAAAGAUCUUCUUUGUAUUUAUUUCUUUAAGACGUACCUGUGGCUAAUCCCAUGUGUGGCAGCUGUUGAGGGAAUUCGCGAGCAGCUGCCAGAUAGAUGCCACAUAAUUGGCAACUGAUUUUCACCAGGAGGAUGGCGUCGGUGCUUGCUUGUCAAACUGUGUUCUCCAGUACAGCCGACCCUGACAAAAACAUGUUCUUCUUGGCAGCGCUUCUGUGGCAGUGGGAUGGCAAUGUUUCCUGCCCUCAGAUUAUUGCAAUUUAAGAGGAUGAUGGAGGACUUCAGCAUGAUGAUUCGUAGCCAACAGGAUAAAAUAUAGCCUUGUUUUUCUGCUCUAGUCUUAGUAUUACAAACAUGAAGGCUUUUAAAAAUGUUUAU